UACGGGGGGGGCAAGCGUUGUUCGGAAUUACUGGGCGUAAAGGGCGCGUAGGCGGUUUGCUAAGUUGGAUGUGAAAACUCUGGGCUUAACCCAGAGCCUGCAUCCAAAACUGGCAAACUUGAGUACUGGAGGGGAAAGCGGAAUUCCUGGUGUAGCGGUGAAAUGCGUAGAUAUCAGGAGGGAACACCGGUGGCGAAAGGGCGGCUUUCUUGG
rnacentral:rRNA from 1 species